GGACCCUUACUGUUGAGUCUAAACAAAUGCUCCAGGACUUGCAACUUGCUGGUCUCCGCGUGGGCCCGGGGCCCCCACAGGAACUCGUGGCGAGCGGGAUCGCUGUCGGCCACCUGCCGGUACUCCAGGACGAUGACACCCAGAAGUAUCACCAGGAGGCCGUUCUUGGGCAUGCUCCGCUCAUCACCCUGCAUCCCAUCACAGGUGAGGCCCAGGGUGGGGACCAGGAUGUACAAGUGCUCCUUGGGGUCCACCUCCUUCACAUCCACCCCAAAGACCAGCUGCAUGCACUCAGAGGCCUGGCUGAAGACCACAGGGAAGUGGUGCUGGUAUGCUCUGAGGAUACUCAGCAUUUCUGCCCUGGUGGUCGGCUGCUUCCUGCGAUACUUGAGGAGCAGGAAGCUCACCAGGUCAGCCAUCAUUGAAAGCUCUGCCCCUUGGCGCAGGGACUCGGCACCGGCAGAGUAGGAAGAGGAGACGGAGGAGGAGGAGGAGGAGGACGAGGAGGACCGGGGGGAUGCGGCCCCCUCCUGCUCAGCCUCCAGCUGCUGCACAUCCACCAGGCCCUGGGCGUCUCUUGGGUCCUGAAGGUCUUCCACAGCCUGGCGGAGCUCACUCAUCUGAACCAGGGACAUAAUGACAGGUGUUGGCAGCUGACAGGAGUCUGGGCCGGGGUGACAGGUGGGGACCCAGUGGCCUUGUGGGAGGACAAGCUUAUCGACCUUCCCAGGGUUUCUAGGGCUGAACGAGGUUUCCUUUGGUGUCCCAUCUUUGUUGUGGGCGUGCGGGUCCCCUCACCCUUCCCUCGGGCCCUCACCUUGACUCCUGGGAGGACCCGGGACUCUUCUCUCUGUUGCCAAGGCGUGGUUCCUUCAGAUGAUCUGACCCGUCCUCUCACACCAAGGUCCUCACCUCCCUGAAAGGCGGGAGAGAAAGGAGAGGAGGCCCCUUUCCUGCUGUGAUUCAGGACAAGGAUACCUCUGGUCAUUGACUUUGGUUUCUGGGCACAGUUCCUUGUUCACAGCUCCCAAAGCCCUUGGGAUGUCCUCAGUGUUGAGAGUGAUGAAUGUGCUUUUUUUGUUUUUUAUGUGAAUGAGAUGUGUUUGCAAAGCACCUAAAAUGGGGCUGGUUGCCAGAAGAGCCAAUCAUGUGAUUAAAAGUUUGGAUCUUUUGGCCCCUCCCCAGCACCACCAGGGAGGGGAGAAAGGCUGGA